rnacentral:rRNA from 1 species
CACCUCUAGCAUUCCCAGUAUUAGAGGCACUGCCUGCCCAGUGACAUCAGUUAAACGGCCGCGGUAUCCUGACCGUGCAAAGGUAGCAUAAUCAUUCGUUCCCUAAAUAGGGACUUGUAUGAAUGGCCACACGAGGGCUUUACUGUCUCUUACUUCCGAUCCGUGAAAUUGACCUUCCCGUGAAGAGGCGGGAAUAUGACAAUAAGACGAGAAGACCCUAUGGAGCUUUAAUUAACCGACCCAAAGAGAUCUUAACAACUAACCGAUAGGGACAACAAACCUCUACCAUGGGUCGACAAUUUAGGUUGGGGUGACCUCGGAGAAUAAAACAACCUCCGAGUGAUUUAAAUCUAGACUAACCAGUCGAAAGUACUACAUCACUUAUUGAUCCAAAAACUUGAUCAACGGAACAAGUUACCCUAGGGAUAACAGCGCAAUCCUAUUUUAGAGUCCAUAUCGACAAUAGGGUUUACGACCUCGAUGUUGGAUCAGGACAUCCCGAUGGUGCAGCAGCUAUCAAAGGUUCGUUUGUUCAACGAUUAAAGUCCU